rnacentral:rRNA from 1 species
GAUGAACGCUGGCGGCGUGCUUAACACAUGCAAGUCGAACGGAAAGGCCCUGCUUUUGUGGGGUGCUCGAGUGGCGAACGGGUGAGUAACACGUGAGUAACCUGCCCUUGACUUUGGGAUAACUUCAGGAAACUGGGGCUAAUACCGGAUAGGAGCUCCUGCUGCAUGGUGGGGGUUGGAAAGUUUCGGCGGUUGGGGAUGGACUCGCGGCUUAUCAGCUUGUUGGUGGGGUAGUGGCUUACCAAGGCUUUGACGGGUAGCCGGCCUGAGAGGGUGACCGGCCACAGUGGGACUGAGGUACGGCCCAGACUCCUACGGGAGGCAGCAGUGGGGAAUAUUGCACAAUGGGCGGAAGCCUGAUGCAGCAACGCCGCGUGCGGGAUGACGGCCUUCGGGUUGUAAACCGCUUUCGCCUGUGACGAAGCGUGAGUGACGGUAAUGGGUAAAGAAGCACCGGCUAACUACGU